UGCAGUCGAACGAUGAUGCCAGCUUGCUGGUGGAUUAGUGGCGAACGGGUGAGUAACACGUGAGUAACCUGCCCUUGACUCUGGGAUAAGCCUGGGAAACUGGGUCUAAUACCGGAUAUGACUGACUAUCGCAUGGUGGUUGGUGGAAAGCUUUUGUGGUUUUGGAUGGACUCGCGGCCUAUCAGCUUGUUGGUGGGGUAAUGGCCUACCAAGGCGACGACGGGUAGCCGGCCUGAGAGGGUGACCGGCCACACUGGGACUGAGACACGGCCCAGACUCCUACGGGAGGCAGCAGUGGGGAAUAUUGCACAAUGGGCGCAAGCCUGAUGCAGCGACGCCGCGUGAGGGAUGACGGCCUUCGGGUUGUAAACCUCUUUCAGUAGGGAAGAAGCCGCAAGGUGACGGUACCUGCAGAAGAAGCGCCGGCUAACUACGUGCCAGCAGCCGCGGUAAUACGUAGGGCGCAAGCGUUAUCCGGAAUUAUUGGGCGUAAAGAGCUCGUAGGCGGUUUGUCGCGUCUGCCGUGAAAGUCCGGGGCUCAACUCCGGAUCUGCGGUGGGUACGGGCAGACUAGAGUGAUGUAGGGGAGACUGGAAUUCCUGGUGUAGCGGUGAAAUGCGCAGAUAUCAGGAGGAACACCGAUGGCGAAGGCAGGUCUCUGGGCAUUAACUGACGCUGAGGAGCGAAAGCAUGGGGAGCGAACAGGAUUAGAUACCCUGGUAGUCCAUGCCGUAAACGUUGGGCACUAGGUGUGGGGGACAUUCCACGUUUUCCGCGCCGUAGCUAACGCAUUAAGUGCCCCGCCUGGGGAGUACGGCCGCAAGGCUAAAACUCAAAGGAAUUGACGGGGGCCCGCACAAGCGGCGGAGCAUGCGGAUUAAUUCGAUGCAACGCGAAGAACCUUACCAAGGCUUGACAUGAACCAGACCGGGCUGGAAACAGUUCUUCCCCUUUGGGGUUGGUUUACAGGUGGUGCAUGGUUGUCGUCAGCUCGUGUCGUGAGAUGUUGGGUUAAGUCCCGCAACGAGCGCAACCCUCGUUCCAUGUUGCCAGCGGGUAGUGCCGGGGACUCAUGGGAGACUGCCGGGGUCAACUCGGAGGAAGGUGGGGACGACGUCAAAUCAUCAUGCCCCUUAUGUCUUGGGCUUCACGCAUGCUACAAUGGCCGGUACAAAGGGUUGCGAUACUGUGAGGUGGAGCUAAUCCCAAAAAGCCGGUCUCAGUUCGGAUUGGGGUCUGCAACUCGACCCCAUGAAGUCGGAGUCGCUAGUAAUCGCAGAUCAGCAACGCUGCGGUGAAUACGUUCCCGGGCCUUGUACACACCGCCCGUCAAGUCACGAAAGUUGGUAACACCC
rnacentral:rRNA from 1 species